UACGGAGGGGGCUAGCGUUGUUCGGAAUUACUGGGCGUAAAGCGCACGUAGGCGGCUUUGUAAGUUAGAGGUGAAAGCCCGGGGCUCAACUCCGGAAUUGCCUUUAAGACUGCAUCGCUCGAAUUGUGGAGAGGUAAGUGGAAUUCCGAGUGUAGAGGUGAAAUUCGUAGAUAUUCGGAAGAACACCAGUGGCGAAGGCGACUUACUGGCUCGAUACUGACGCUAAGGCGCGAAAGCGUGGGGAGCAAACAGG
rnacentral:rRNA from 1 species